rnacentral:rRNA from 1 species
UACGGAGGAUCCGAGCGUUAUCCGGAUUUAUUGGGCGUAAAGGGUCCGCAGGUGGCGAUGUAAGUCUGACGUGAAAUCCCGCGGCUUAACCGCGGAACUGCGUCGGAUACUGCUUCGCUGGAGGUUGGUAGAGGAGUCUGGAAUUCACGGUGUAGCGGUGAAAUGCGUAGAUAUGCGGAGGAACACCGAUGGCGAAGGCAAUCCCCUGGGGCCUGCACUGACGCUCAUGCACGAAAGCGUGGGGA